rnacentral:rRNA from 1 species
UUGCUGGCGACCGGCGCACGGGUGAGUAACACGUAUCCAACCUGCCGAUAACUCGGGGAUAGCCUUUCGAAAGAAAGAUUAAUACCCGAUGGCAUAAUUAGACCGCAUGGUUUGAUUAUUAAAGAAUUUCGGUUAUCGAUGGGGAUGCGUUCCAUUAGGCAGUUGGUGAGGUAACGGCUCACCAAACCUUCGAUGGAUAGGGGUUCUGAGAGGAAGGCCCCCCACAUUGGAACUGAGACACGGUCCAA